CGCAAUAAGAAAAAGUUUGGGAACCUCUGCUCUAAAGGUCACUGGACAUUAUGACUAAAAAUCUGUUUCUAGGGUCAGUGACCUUAAAAAGGUAGACAGCCAAUCUAGUUGAAACUCAAAGCAUCACAAAACAUUUUGUUUACAAAGCAUUUGUUAUUCCCCCAGCUGUAAAUGAAGGAAUUGAUAAAUGUAUUUUUUCUAAAAAAACAAACAAACAAGUUUUAUGUAUCACAGUAAGGAUACUGUGUAUCAAGUGCUAGGUUCAGAAGCUUUUUAUUACUAUUUUUGAACCAUUUCAACCAAAGAGCUGUACUACAAUCAGAAGUAUUACUGCAGUGCUAGAGCACUACUAGGCUCCUCUUGUGCCCCAACAGGCAGGUGUACUCCCAGUUAUUGAUGCAAGCAUGGAACAAAUGGCUCUUUAAAAAAAGAAAAAGAAAAAGAUCUGUGACUGACUUCAAUGAUCUCUCACACUAUUUGAAAAUAGAAAAUAUGAAAGUUAUAUACAGUACCACAUUUCACAGAGAACGUAACUUUUACUUGUUAAAAAAGGAUAGAAAAAGUAUUUGAAAACAAUAAUUUAUUCAGACAAUGAUGCUUGCUACUAUUCACUUCAAUGAACUUGACCAAAAAACCAGAACCUUAAACCCAACUAGGAUUUUUUGCUCUCAUCUGCUUUAUAACUGGGAAGCAGACUGUGCAAGGAAGAUAGAGAAACAUGGAAGAAUGAGAAUGAGGACAAGUGCUGCCUAUGUAACACUGACCUCAAAGAGCCUGGAUCAUAGCUGUAUUGUCUGGAAGCAGGAUUGGAGAGGGAAGAGCCAAGUGCAGCAAGUCCUCACCACAAGUAAAAGUCCAAGGGUUGAAGAUACCACCGAAAACCUGAGUGUGGCUAACCAGCAGAAGGGAGGCCAGAGGCUUCCAUGCAUGACUUUUGUCUCAACUGCUCUCACCUUGGGUAUACAUGUAAAAUUAAAAUCAGGGUUCUCCUGGGAGCCACACAAUCUCUGUCAAAAUAGUACUGCAGACAGAAAGACCUUCAUCUUCAUUUUAUUACCACACAAUUAUAUGUGAGCUGUUACAGACACAUUUGCUGCUUACAUUUCAAAACAAGAUUUUCAGUAAUGAAGUUAUAGAUUUUUUUUUAAUAAUUAAAAUCUAGCAAGAUCCUGGAAUACUAGAAAAGUGUCUUAGUAACUUGCCUGUAAAUCUUAAUGAUGAAUUAAAAGAUAUUGACUGAGAUCUUCAUAUAAUACAGGAGAAAACUAUUUACCAAAGCUACUGAAAACAGACACAGUAAAAACUGUAUUUAUUUAUUUUACCAAACAUAUUGUUGCUACACAAGACAGAGCAAGCCUUCAGGAGCUGGAAGUCCUUUUUCUAGGUUACUCUAAGCUUUACUUGUUUCUUCUUUAAGAAGGCUACUUGAAUAGUGGUGAUUUGAUUUUUUUUAAAUAAACACAGCAAUUUGCUUGUUA